rnacentral:rRNA from 1 species
AUGAACGCUGGCGGCGUGCCUCAUACAUGCCAGUCGAGCGCACAGAUGAGGAGCUUGCUCCUCUGACGUUAGCGGCGGACGGGUGAGUAACACGUGGAUAACCUACCUAUAAGACUGGGAUAACUUCGGGAAACCGGAGCUAAUACCGGAUAAUAUAUUGAACCGCAUGGUUCAAUAGUGAAAGACGGUUUUGCUGUCACUUAUAGAUGGAUCCGCGCCGCAUUAGCUAGUUGGUAAGGUAACGGCUUACCAAGGCAACGAUGCGUAGCCGACCUGAGAGGGUGAUCGGCCACACUGGAACUGAGACACGGUCCAGACUCCUACGGGAGGCAGCAGUAGGGAAUCUUCCGCAAUGGGCGAAAGCCUGACGGAGCAACGCCGCGUGAGUGAUGAAGGUCUUCGGAUCGUAAAACUCUGUUAUUAGGGAAGAACAAAUGUGUAAGUAACUUUGCACGUCUUGACGGUACCUAAUCAGAAAGCCACGGCUAACUACGUG